AUUCAAGCCCAACGUGCCUAAGUCUGAGAUUGUUUUAAUAUUUACAUUGAAAAAUCUAAUUUAGGUAAUUUCAAAAAUUGUAUAUGUUAAUACAUGAAAAUGUAACUCAGAGACUUAUUCAGAUGAUGUUAUUUAAGAGAGGGCUGGGGGUGUUGGGAAGUGACAGAGAUGACUCUGAAGGCUUGGGCAACUUCCUCAAAGUUCUUUGAGCCUCAUCUUCAACAACUAUAACUAAAAUGUAGAAGACCAUGUUCCUUCCCGGUUUUGUCAAGAUAAUUUACUUUAUCCAUGUGGGAUUUCACAGAGUAAGCAUGUCAGCAUGUCAUUUCUUUGGAGAUGAGCACUCUGGGAAAUGCAUUUACCCGCUAUAUGCCACUAACUGAAAACAAUCUCCCUUCGUUUUAUUGCUAUGUGUUUUUAAAUCUACCAGAGUAGAUAAUGUUUUGUCCCU